rnacentral:lncRNA from 1 species
UUUUUGCUUUAUUAUUUUUGCUUUAUUAUUAGAACAUAGCAUGUGAACUUCGACUAUAGCUUAAUAGCUAAAUUAUUUUUAAUAUGUGUACAUUGUAGUUAGUAUUUGUGCAUAUAUUUAGUGAAAUUUCCAUAUUCGGUAAAACCAUGAUCGUUAAAUAUAAGACCGAACUCGCUGAACUUGUUAGUCGUAGUCAAAUUAGGUUGUGGUUUUAUAAUGUUAUUUUCCUGUUGGCUUUUUUAUAAUGAGUGUUCAUUAUGAUCAUAUUUGGAAGAUGUGUUUUUACCUAAUAAUAAAAAAACAGAAAUGAAGGCAGUUCCUUUUCAUAUUGAAACCAAGACAAUGACGAUGAUGUUGAUGGAUGUCUGUUUAAAGUUCCGUGGUGUAUAAACUCAUCAUAGAUACCAGGAUUAAAUUUUAAAUUAAGGUAGCUGGGUUGUCUCAAUAUUCAACGAUAUAUAUUUUUUCUUAAACUGUUGCAAUACUUCAGGGUCAAGGAACUUUCAAACUUCAAUGUAAAACUGACAGUCACAGACCUUCAGUUUUUGUCAAAAUAUAUUGAAAUUAGCGAAAUAAUAGUUUUUCUAAAUGGGUUAUAUAGUGGAAACUUCAUUUUUCCUUAUUGAGAACAUAUUGCACAUUUACACGAAAGAACGUGCGAACAGUCAAUGAGAGAACUAUUUUUCAUAAAUUCUUCCGAAAAAUCAAACAGAAUAGGGAUCACGAAGGGGUCCAUAUUUUCGUGAAAAAUCCCCAAAAUAUAAAUUGGCCUGUCAGUUUCAAUAUAAUAAUCUGCCCUUGAAUAUAACAGGUAUGAUGCAAUUUUAAAUACACAUAACGACACUUAAUGUUUUGAUAGGUUUUGGUUAUUUAUGAUUCUGCUGUAUAUUGAAUACUUUGUAAUAAAACAUGAAACCGCAAAACUAUUUUAGCAACAUGCCAAGAAGGAAUGCUAAGGAAAUAAAAUAAAAAAAUAUUUGAUUUCAGACGUGAAACCUCCCUCUUAAGAACACGAAGGAACAUUGUAUUUGUUUGAUAAAAGUUAUAUUCAUUUAUAUAGAUUCUGUUGAUUGUGUGAUUGUUGUAAGUGUGUGUCGUAUAUUCAGGAUUUCUUUUUAGAAGUCUUAUUGUGUCUACAACUUUUUUUCUUUUGCCAAUAACACAUAAAUGUAGAUUUUGAUAAUAAAACAAUUGUAUUUGCUGUAUUGUGUCAUUAAUGAAAGGAGGUCGCAUUUGUGUCAGCUGUUUUUUGGUAAAUAAAAAUCAGCGAAACUAGUUGAUUCUCUUCAUCUUCACCGGGAGAAGCAAAGUCGUAACAACUACUAGUGGUUGUUUAACAACAUUGACGUACCACAAGAGUCUUGCACGGUGUGAUAUAAACAGAUAAAUUUGGCGGCUUUCGGCUGUUGUCUGCUCUAUGGUCGGGUUGUUUGUUGUUUCUUUGACCCAUUCCCCAUUUCCAUUCUCAACUUUAAAUGACAAUAUAUAAUGAAUCUAUGUAUGUAACUGAAGCCUAAACUUCAGUUCUAACAUGAUAAACCAUUUACAAAAGCAUUCGAAAAGAUUGGAAGAAAAUAGAAUUGAUUGCAAAUAUAUAUUAUAGAACUAAUAUAUAAAUCUUUGAAAGUAAAGGAUAUCAUUUUAAAAUAUUUUUUAGAUCUCAAACAGUUUAUUCUUAUCGA